UACGUAGGGUGCAAGCGUUGUCCGGAAUUAUUGGGCGUAAAGAGCUCGUAGGCGGUUUGUCGCGUCUGCUGUGAAAACUCGGGGCUCAACUCCGAGCUUGCAGUGGGUACGGGCAGACUAGAGUGCGGUAGGGGAGACUGGAAUUCCUGGUGUAGCGGUGGAAUGCGCAGAUAUCAGGAGGAACACCGGUGGCGAAGGCGGCAUCCUGGACCGGCAUUGACGCUGAGGAGCGAAAGCCAGGGGAGCAAACGGG
rnacentral:rRNA from 1 species